rnacentral:tRNA from 1 species
GGCGCAGCAGCACGGGAGUGAUGUGUAAUUUGAAAUGAGUAAGAGUGUGGACGAACGGUGGCAGUUCGAUUCUGUCAUGCGCCACCA